rnacentral:rRNA from 1 species
AGAACGAACGCUGGCGGCGUGCUUAAGACAUGACAAGUCGUACGGAAAGGGCCCCCGUUCGGGGGGUACUCGAGUGGCGCACGGGUGAGUAACGCGUGGGUAAUCUGCCUUCGGGUCUGGGACAACCUCGGGAAACUGGGGCUAAUACCAGAUAAGGACCACGAGCUCUUCGGAGCUCGCGGAAAAAGAUGGCCUCUCCUUGGAAGCUAUCGCCCGUCGAUGAGCCUGCGUCCCAUUAGCUAGUUGGGAGGUAACGGCUCACCAAGGCUUCGAUGGGUAGCUGGUCUGAGAGGAUGAUCAGCCACACUGGAACUGAGAUACGGUCCAGACUCCUAC